AGCGUCGUUUGAUUUUCAAUGAGAGCGCAGUUCGUUGACAUCGAGGGGGUCACAGGUUCAAUCCCUGUCGCGUCCACCA
rnacentral:tRNA from 1 species